rnacentral:rRNA from 1 species
CAGCCGCCACGGUAAAACGUAGGUGGCAAGCGUUGUCCGGAAUUAUUGGGCGUAAAGGGCUCGCAGGCGGUUUCUUAAGUCUGAUGUGAAAGCCCCCGGCUCAACCGGGGAGGGUCAUUGGAAACUGGGAAACUUGGGUGCAGAAGAGGAGAGUGGAAUUCCACGUGUAGCGGUGAAAUGCGUAGAGAUGUGGAGGAACACCAGUGGCGAAGGCGACUCUCUGGUCUGUAACUGACGCUGAGGAGCGAAAGCGUGGGGAGCGAACAGGAUUAGAUACCCGCGUAGUCCCUGUCUCUUAUAA